UGGUUUUGAUCUCUUGAGCUCAAGCAAUCCUACUGUUUCGGCCUCCCAAACUUCUGUGCUUACAUGCAUAAACCGCCACACUCGUCCUUUGAACUAAGGAAAUUCCUCACAAGCACACAUGCCCUGCAAAAAAUGUUUAAAAAAGUUAUUUCAGGAGAAAAAAAAAUUGAUAAGUCAGAGUCUCAGUUGGCAUAAAGAAAGUGAGAAAGAAAAAGUAAAGUCUAAGUUUGGCUCAAGUGGGUGGAAAUCCCGUCUAGGAGAUGGUACAAGGUCGGGUAAAAUAUUUUCCCUAUUCUUGAAACUAAAGGGAUAAAGAAAUAUAGAGCAUACUAACACUAAUCAAAAGAAAGCUGAAGUAGCUGUAUCAAUUUCAGACAAAGCUGACUUCAGAGCAAUACAAGUUACUAAAAAUAGAGAGGAACAUUUAGUAAGGAGAAGUGUCAAUUCUUCAGGAAGACAUAACAACCCUUAACAUAAAUUCACGGAAGAGAGCAAUAAAAGAUGUGAGGCAGGAGACUGGGGUCUUUUCCUAAGCCGGCACUCACCAAGGAGAAAGCCAUGUUCAGUUCUAGUGCCAAGAUCGUGAAGCCCAAUGGCAAGAAGCCAGACGAGUUCGAGUCCGGCAUCUCCCAGGCUCUUCUGGAUCUGGGGAUGAACUCGGACCUCAAGGCUCAGCUCAGGAAGCUGAUUAUUACGGCAGCCAAGGGAACUGAAGUUGAUUGUGGUCGGAAAGCUAUCAUAAUCUUUGUUGCCGUUCCUCAAUUAAAAUCUUUCCAGAAAUUCCAAGUCCGGCUAGCACGGGAAUUGGAGAAAAAUUUCAGGGGGAAGCAUGUUGUCUUUAUCGCUCAGAGGAGAGUUCUGCCUAAGCCAACUCCAAAAAGCCAUACAAAAAAUAAGCAAAAGCAUCUCAGGAGCUGUACUUUGACAGCUGUGCAUGAUGCAAUCCUUGAGGAGUUGGUCUUCCCAAGCGAAAUUGUGGGCAAGAGAAUCUGCAUGAAACUGGAUGGCAGCUGUCUUAUAAAGGUUCAUUUGGACAAAGCACAGCAGAACAAUGUGGAACACAAGGUUGAAACUUUUUCUGGUGUCUAUAAGAAGCUCACAAAAACUCACAGAAAUGCAAAGGGAAGUAUACAAGGAUAG